rnacentral:miRNA from 10 species
CAAUAGGUCUUUAAUCAUUGAG